rnacentral:misc_RNA from 1 species
ACCCGUGAACUUGUUGUUAACGCCGGGGACGCGCGGGCCUUGUGCUUGCGCGCCCUCGCUCGCGUCGCGUUGGGCUUUCGUUGCGCGUGCACCCCUGCGUGUGCGUGCCCGUUCGCCCCUCGCGGUGCCUUAACCAACCCCGGCGCGAAUUGCGCCAAGGACUUGUUAACGAGAGGGCUCGCUCCCGUCGCCCCCGGACACGGUGCGUGCGUGCGGGACGCGACGCCUCCUUUCAUUAUCUAUAACGACUCUCGGCAACGGAUAUCUCGGCUCUCGCAUCGAUGAAGAACGUAGCGAAAUGCGAUACUUGGUGUGAAUUGCAGAAUCCCGUGAACCAUCGAGUCUUUGAACGCAAGUUGCGCCCCAAGCCCUUUAGGGCCGGGCACGUCUGCCUGGGUGUCACGCAUCGUUGCCCCCCCUCCCAAAAAUCUAACGAUUCUUUCGGCGUGGGUGGGCGGAAAUUGGCCUCCCGUGCGCUCGCCCGUGCGGUUGGCCCAAA